rnacentral:rRNA from 1 species
CACGUAGUUAGCCGGUGCUUAUUCUUACGGUACCGUCAUGGACCCCAGGUAUUAACCAGAGUCUUUUCGUUCCGUACAAAAGCAGUUUACAACCCGAAGGCCUUCAUCCUGCACGCGGCAUGGCUGGAUCAGGCUUUCGCCCAUUGUCCAAAAUUCCCCACUGCUGCCUCCCGUAGGAGUCUGGGCCGUGUCUCAGUACCAGUGUGGCUGGUCGUCCUCUCAGACCAGCUACAGAUCGUCGGCUUGGUAAGCUUUUAUCCCACCAACUACCUAAUCUGCCAUCGGCCGCUCCGUUCGCGCAAGGCCUUGCGGUCCCCUGCUUUCAUCCGUAGAUCGUAUGCGGUAUUAGCAAAGCUUUCGCUUCGUUAUCCCCCACGAUCGGGCACGUUCCGAUGUAUUACUCACCCGUUCGCCACUCGUCAGCAUCCGAAGACCUGUUACCGUUCGACUUGCAUGUGUAAGGCAUGCCGCCAGCGUUCAAUCUGAGCCAGGAUCAAACUCU